CGAUGCAAGUUUUUAGGAAUGAAAGUGCUUUCAGCUGGGAAGAAACAAAUGACGGUACCAACAGAAGAAGUGACGGCUAAAUACGUGCCAGCAGCCGCGGUAAUACGUAUGUCACGAGCGUUAUCCGGAUUUAUUGGGCGUAAAGCGAGUCUAGGUGGUUAUGUAAGUCUGAUGUGAAAAUGCAGGGCUCAACUCUGUAUUGCGUUGGAAACUGUAUAACUAGAGUACUGGAGAGGUAAGCGGAACUACAAGUGUAGAGGUGAAAUUUGUAGAUAUUUGUAGGAAUGCCGAUGGGGAAGCCAGCUUACUGGACAGAUACUGACGCUAAAGCGCGAAAGCGUGGGUCGCAAACAGG
rnacentral:rRNA from 1 species